rnacentral:rRNA from 1 species
AGAGUUUGAUCCUGGCUCAGGAUGAACGCUAGCGGCAGGCUUAACACAUGCAAGUCGAGGGGUAACAGGGAGAAGCUUGCUUUUCCGCUGACGACCGGCGCACGGGUGCGUAACGCGUAUACAAUCUACCUUUUACAGAGGGAUAGCCCAGAGAAAUUUGGAUUAAUACCUCAUGGUAUUGUUAAUUGGCAUCGAUUGACAAUUAAAACUUCGGUGGUAAAAGAUGAGUAUGCGUUCUAUUAGCUAGUUGGUACGGUAACGGCGUACCAAGGCGACGAUAGAUAGGGGUCCUGAGAGGGAGAUCCCCCACACUGGUACUGAGACACGGACCAGACUCCUACGGGAGGCAGCAGUGAGGAAUAUUGGGCAAUGGACGAAAGUCUGACCCAGCCAUGCCGCGUGCAGGAAGACGGCCCUAUGGGUUGUAAACUGCUUUUAUACAGGAAGAAACACCUCUACGUGUAGAGGCUUGACGGUACUGUAAGAGUAAGGAUCGGCUAACGCCGUGCCAGCAGCUGCGGUAAUACGGAGGAUCCAAGCGUUAUCCCGGAAUCAUUAGGUUUAAAGGGUCCGUAGGUGCAUAAUUUAGUCAGAGGUGAAAUCCUGCAGCUCAACUGUAGAAUUGCCUUUGAUACUGGUUAUCUUGCGUUAUUAUGAAGUAGUUAGAAUAUGUAGUGUAGCGCUGAAAUGCAUAGAUAUUACAUAGAAUACCAAUUGCGAAGGCAGAUUACUAAUAAUCAACUGACACUGAUGGACGAAAGCGUGGGGAGCGAACAGGCUUAGAUACCCUGGUAGUCCAUGGCGUAAACGAUGGUUACUAGCUGUUCGAACUUCGGUUUGAGUGGCUAAGCGAAAGUGAUAAGUAACCCACCUGGGGAGUACGCUCGCAAGAAUGAAACUCAAAGGAAUUGACGGGGGCCCGCACAAGCGGUGGAGCAUGUGGUUUAAUUCGAUGAUACGCGAGGAACCUUACCAGGGCUUAAAUGUAGAUUGACAGGACUAGAGAUAGUUUUUCCUUCGGGCAAUUUACAAGGUGCUGCAUGGUUGUCGUCAGCUCGUGCCGUGAGGUGUCAGGUUAAGUCCUAUAACGAGCGCAACCCCUGCCGUUAGUUGCCAGCAUGUUAUGAUGGGGACUCUAACGGGACUGCCAGUGCAAACUGUGAGGAAGGUGGGGAUGACGUCAAAUCAUCACGGCCCUUACGUCCUGGGCUACACACGUGCUACAAUGGUCGGUACAGAGGGCAGCCACUGCGGGAGCAGGAGCGAUUCCUAAAAACCGAUCUCAGUUCGGAUCGGAGUCUGCAACUCGACUCCGUGAAGCUGGAAUCGCUAGUAAUCGGAUAUCAGCCAUGAUCCGGUGAAUACGUUCCCGGGCCUUGUACACACCGCCCGUCAAGCCAUGGAAGCUGGGGGUGCCUGAAGUCGGUGACCGAAAGGAGCUGCCUAGGGUAAAACUAGUAACUGGGGCUAAGUCGAAACAAGGUA